GGUGAGGUGUCCGAGCGGCUUAAGGAGCACGCCUGGAAAGUGUGUAUAUGCGAAUGUAUAUCGAGGGUUCGAAUCCCUCCCUCACCGCCA
rnacentral:tRNA from 1 species